CAGUCGCCACGGUAAUACGGAGGAUCCAAGCGUUAUCCGGAUUUAUUGGGUUUAAAGGGUGCGUAGGUGGCCUGUUAAGUCAGGGGUGAAAGACGGUAGCUUAACUAUCGCAGUGCCCUUGAUACUGAUGGGCUUGAAUGUACUAGAGGUAGGCGGAAUGUGACAAGUAGCGGUGAAAUGCAUAGAUAUGUCACAGAACACCAAUUGCGAAGGCAGCUUACUAUGGUAUGAUUGACGCUGAGGCACGAAAGCGUGGGGAUCAAACAGGAUUAGAUACCCCCGUAGUCCCUGUCUCUUAUAC
rnacentral:rRNA from 1 species